rnacentral:misc_RNA from 1 species
AGUAAAAGUCGUAACAAGGUUUCCGUAGGUGAACCUGCGGAAGGAUCAUUAAAAAAUUGGACUCCAUUGGUGAGUUCAUUAAUAAUCCCUACCCUUUGUGAAUUUGUUUGUUUGAAUAAUUUUUUUUCCAAAAAAAAUUAUUGAAUGUCUUUCCUUGUUUUGGUGGAGCUUGUAAAGUGAAACCAGGCAGGGGAAUGGCAAACAAUAAUUAUUUUUGAAAAAGACCUUUUUUUAAAAUUAAACUUUUUGUAUUCAUUUGUCUAAAAUUAAUUUUAUAAUAUAAAAACAACUUUUGACAAUGGAUCUCUUGGUUCUCGCAACGAUGAAGAACGCAGCAAAAUGCGAUAAGUAGUGUGAAUUGCAGAAUACGUGAAUCAUCGAAUCUUCGAACGCAUAUUGCACUUUUUUAGUUUACUAAAAAAGUAUGUCUGUUUGAGUAUCAGUAAAAUAUUCUCAUAAAAACAUUGUUUUUUUUAUGGUUAUGAGUGUUUUACAACGAUAACAAGUUGUUUCACUUUAAAUUCUUUGUUAUCAAAAAAAUCAUUAAAAGCUAAUUUUAAAGAUUUUUUAAAAUUGGAUAAAAUUUUCCCGUAAAAAGGAAUAACCUAAACAAUUUUAAAAAAUUAAAAUUGGUUUGAUUUUUUUUGAAACCCAAAGGAAAAAAAAACGAAAUUAACUUGACCUCAAAUCAGAUAAGAGUACCCGCUGAACUUAAGCAUAUCAAUAAGCGGAGGAAAAGAAACUAACUAGGAUUCCCUCAGUAACGGCGAGUGAAGCGGGAAGAGCUCAAAUUUGAAAUCUUCAAGGUUUUACCUUGACGAAUUGUAGUUUAAAGAAGUGUUUUCUGUUGGAGUUUUGGUAAAAGUUCUUUGGAAAAGGACAUCAUAGAGGGUGAGAAUCCCGUAUUUGACCAUUAUCUCCAGCUUUGUGAUACACUUUCAAAGAGUCGGAUUGUUUGGGAAUGCAGUCCAAAAUGGGUGGUAAAUUUCAUCUAAAGCUAAAUACUGGCGAGAGACCGAUAGCGAACAAGUACCGUGAGGGAAAGAUGAAAAGAACUUUGAAAAGAGAGUUAAACAGUACGUGAAAUUGUCAAAAGGGAAGCGUUUGACACCAGUGUUGUUUUCUCGAAAAUCAAUUAAAAAAGGCCGGAUUUUGUGUUGUAUUGACUUUAUCAGCUUUCUGCACUCUUUUCUUGUCUUUUUUAAUGCACUUUUCGUUUAACAAGUCAACAUCAAUUUCUUUUGUUGUAAAAGGGUCAUUGGAAGGUGGCUUUCUUUUCGGAGAAAGUGUUUAUAGCCUUUGGCCUCUGCAAUCGGAGAGAUUGAGGUCUGCAGCGUAGAUCCUUCGGGGUUAGAUACAUUUGUGCUAAGUUAUAGCCUUUCAUAGACAACUUGUUGACUAUGAUCAGUCAUGUAGCUUACUCGCUUAUGCUAUUUACCUACGCUUAGGAUGUUGAG